rnacentral:rRNA from 1 species
GAUGAACGCUGGCGGCGUGCUUAACACAUGCAAGUCGAACGAUGAAGCCCAGCUUGCUGGGUGGUUUAGUGGCGAACGGGUGAGUAACACGUGAGUAACCUGCCCUUAACUCUGGGAUAAGCCUGGGAAACUGGGUCUAAUACCGGAUAGGAGCGUCCACCGCAUGGUGGGUGUUGGAAAGAUUUAUCGGUUUUGGAUGGACUCGCGGCCUAUCAGCUUGUUGGUGAGGUAAUGGCUCACCAAGGCGACGACGGGUAGCCGGCCUGAGAGGUUGACCGGCCACACUGGGACCGAGACACGACUCAGACUCCUACGGGAGGCAGCAGUGAGGAAUAUUGCACAAUGGGCGCAAGCCUUAUGCAGCGACGCCGCGUGAGGGAUGACGGCCUUCGGGUUGUAAACCUCUUUCAGUAGGGAAGAAGCGAAAGUGACGAUACCUGCAGAAGAAGCACCGGCUAACUACGUG